UGACAUGUUGGUGUGAGGCCAUGAUCCGAUCCGGAUGGGUCUGAGAGGAGCUGCUCGACGGCACUGGUUUGGACACAGGGCUGGCUGCUACUUCCUGUUACGAGACCGAGAACGCUAUCAGAGGAUACACCUGUGCUGAGGGUGCACGAUCCUGCUGGAAGUAGCGUCAAAAGAUGGGUCCAAGAGGUCGUAAAGGGUUGGACAUGGUAUGCAACAAUACUGAGGGGGUGAUGAUGUGAGUUGCUUACUCAUGAGACAGCUAAGGUAAUCAUGUAAGAAGAAGAGACAUUUUUGUGGUGUGUGUGUGUGUGUGU